rnacentral:snoRNA from 1 species
GCAUGGUAAUGGAUUUUACCACAGAGCAGGCACUUCUCUGUGGGCCUCUCAUAGUGUACCCAUGCCAGAGUAAACUACAGCCUCGAACCAUGGCCCAGCCUCCUUAACCCAUGGGCUGUGAGCACUGAAGGGGGUUGCAUAGUG